rnacentral:rRNA from 1 species
UACAGAGGUCUCAAGCGUUGUUCGGAUUCAUUGGGCGUAAAGGGUGCGUAGGCGGCGCGGUAAGUCGGGUGUGAAAUUUCGGAGCUUAACUCCGAAACUGCAUUCGAUACUGGCGUGCUUGAGGACUGGAGAGGAGAGUGGAACUGCGAGUGUAGAGGUGAAAUUCGUAGAUAUUCGCAAGAACACCAGUGGCGAAGGCGGACUCACUGGCCCGAGUACUGACGCUGAGGCACGAAAGCGUGGGGAGCAAACAGGGAAU